CACAUUUAAUGUGCGUGGCCCAUUUGAUGAGCCAAAUUAGGAAGGUUAUUUCUACUUCGUUAUCUUUACUGAUGAUCAAUCAUGAUAUAGGUAUAUGUAUGAGAUAUAAAUCUGAAGUGUUUGAAAGGUUCAAAGAUUUCAGAUGUGAAGUAGAGAAGUAAAUCAAAAAAAUCCUAAAGAUAUUGAAAGGUUCAAAGAUUUCAGAUGUGA
rnacentral:lncRNA from 1 species